AAAUUGAAGAGUUUGAUCAUGGCUCAGAUUGAACGCUGGCGGCAGGCCUAACACAUGCAAGUCGAACGGUAACAGGAAGCAGCUUGCUGCUUUGCUGACGAGUGGCGGACGGGUGAGUAAUGUCUGGGAAACUGCCUGAUGGAGGGGGAUAACUACUGGAAACGGUGGCUAAUACCGCAUAACGUCGCAAGACCAAAGAGGGGGACCUUCGGGCCUCUUGCCAUCAGAUGUGCCCAGAUGGGAUUAGCUUGUUGGUGAGGUAACGGCUCACCAAGGCGACGAUCCCUAGCUGGUCUGAGAGGAUGACCAGCCACACUGGAACUGAGACACGGUCCAGACUCCUACGGGAGGCAGCAGUGGGGAAUAUUGCACAAUGGGCGCAAGCCUGAUGCAGCCAUGCCGCGUGUAUGAAGAAGGCCUUCGGGUUGUAAAGUACUUUCAGCGGGGAGGAAGGUGUUGUGGUUAAUAACCGCAGCAAUUGACGUUACCCGCAGAAGAAGCACCGGCUAACUCCGUGCCAGCAGCCGCGGUAAUACGGAGGGUGCAAGCGUUAAUCGGAAUUACUGGGCGUAAAGCGCACGCAGGCGGUCUGUCAAGUCGGAUGUGAAAUCCCCGGGCUCAACCUGGGAACUGCAUUCGAAACUGGCAGGCUUGAGUCUUGUAGAGGGGGGUAGAAUUCCAGGUGUAGCGGUGAAAUGCGUAGAGAUCUGGAGGAAUACCGGUGGCGAAGGCGGCCCCCUGGACAAAGACUGACGCUCAGGUGCGAAAGCGUGGGGAGCAAACAGGAUUAGAUACCCUGGUAGUCCACGCCGUAAACGAUGUCUACUUGGAGGUUGUGCCCUUGAGGCGUGGCUUCCGGAGCUAACGCGUUAAGUAGACCGCCUGGGGAGUACGGCCGCAAGGUUAAAACUCAAAUGAAUUGACGGGGGCCCGCACAAGCGGUGGAGCAUGUGGUUUAAUUCGAUGCAACGCGAAGAACCUUACCUGGUCUUGACAUCCACGGAAGUUUUCAGAGAUGAGAAUGUGCCUUCGGGAACCGUGAGACAGGUGCUGCAUGGCUGUCGUCAGCUCGUGUUGUGAAAUGUUGGGUUAAGUCCCGCAACGAGCGCAACCCUUAUCCUUUGUUGCCAGCGAUUCGGUCGGGAACUCAAAGGAGACUGCCAGUGAUAAACUGGAGGAAGGUGGGGAUGACGUCAAGUCAUCAUGGCCCUUACGACCAGGGCUACACACGUGCUACAAUGGCGCAUACAAAGAGAAGCGACCUCGCGAGAGCAAGCGGACCUCAUAAAGUGCGUCGUAGUCCGGAUUGGAGUCUGCAACUCGACUCCAUGAAGUCGGAAUCGCUAGUAAUCGUGGAUCAGAAUGCCACGGUGAAUACGUUCCCGGGCCUUGUACACACCGCCCGUCACACCAUGGGAGUGGGUUGCAAAAGAAGUAGGUAGCUUAACCUUCGGGAGGGCGCUUACCACUUUGUGAUUCAUGACUGGGGUGAAGUCGUAACAAGGUAACCGUAGGGGAACCUGCGGUUGGAUCACCUCCUUA
rnacentral:rRNA from 5 species